UGGUGAAUAUUGGACAAUGGAGGGAACUCUGAUCCAGCAAUUCUGUGUGUGUGAAGAAGGUUUUAGGACUGUAAAACACUUUUAGUAGGGAAGAAAAAAAUGACGGUACCUACAGAAGAAGCAACGGCUAAAUACGUGCCAGCAGCCGCGGUAAUACGUAUGUUGCGAGCGUUAUCCGGAAUUAUUGGGCUUAAAGGGCAUCUAGGCGGUAAGACAAGUUGAAGGUGAAAACCUGUGGCUCAACCAUAGGCUUGCCUACAAAACUGUUGAACUAGAGUACUGGAAAGGUGGGUGGAACUACACGAGUAGAGGUGAAAUUCGUAGAUAUGUGUAGGAAUGCCGAUGAUGAAGAUAACUCACUGGACAGAAACUGACGCUGAAGUGCGAAAGCUAGGGGAGCAAACAGG
rnacentral:rRNA from 1 species